AUUGAACGCUGGCGGCAGGCCUAACACAUGCAAGUCGAGCGGCAGCGGGAAAGUAGCUUGCUACUUUUGCCGGCGAGCGGCGGACGGGUGAGUAAUGCCUGGGAAAUUGCCCAUUCGAGGGGGAUAACAGUUGGAAACGACUGCUAAUACCGCAUACGCCCUACGGGGGAAAGCAGGGGACCUUCGGGCCUUGCGCGAUUGGAUAUGCCCAGGUGGGAUUAGCUAGUUGGUGAGGUAAUGGCUCACCAAGGCGACGAUCCCUAGCUGGUCUGAGAGGAUGAUCAGCCACACUGGAACUGAGACACGGUCCAGACUCCUACGGGAGGCAGCAGUGGGGAAUAUUGCACAAUGGGGGAAACCCUGAUGCAGCCAUGCCGCGUGUGUGAAGAAGGCCUUCGGGUUGUAAAGCACUUUCAGCGAGGAGGAAAGGUUGAUGCCUAAUACGUAUCAACUGUGACGUUACUCGCAGAAGAAGCACCGGCUAACUCCGUGCCAGCCGCCGCAGUAAGAC
rnacentral:rRNA from 1 species